GCACUGCUGAGGAGUCCCAUACUCGGACGAAACGGCCGUCUAGUGC
rnacentral:hammerhead_ribozyme from 1 species